GGUGCUUUGCUGAGCAAUGUCAAGAUUUAGAAGUGUACAGCUCUCCUUUUCUCCCUUCUCAAUGAUUUUAUUUCCUGUAGUUUGUAGGAGGACUUUCAGAGAGCUGUUCUCUUUAUCCUUCUCUGUGGCUCUGGCUCUUUUCUGUAUCAUAGAGAAGUUAAAAAGAGUUGAUUAUCAUCUACUCUCCUAGGGUGGUCAAGACUUGAGGAUUCAGAGGCUGUUUCUCAAUUUAAGUCUCUAAGAAUAUGCCCUUCAGCCUUCUUACCUUGACUUCUGGAACUUUAUUGGUGAAAAAAAACUACGGCAUGACUCUUUAAAGUCUGUUUUAUCAGAGACCAGGAUCAUUCUGAUACCAAAACCAGGGAGAGACACAACAAAACACAAAAACUUCAGACCAAUAUCCCUGAUGAACACCAAAGCGAAAAUCCUCAGUAAAAUACUGGCAAACCAAAUCCAGCAGUACAUCAAAAAUUUUAUCCUCCACUUUCAAGUUGGCUUCAUCCCUGGGAUGCAAGGCUGGUUCAACAUACACAAAUCAAUAAACGUAAUCCAUCACAUAAACAGAACAAAGACAAAGACCACAUGAUUAUCUCAAUAGAUGCAGAAAAGGCCUUCAACAAAAUUCAACAGACGUUCAUACUAAAAACUCUCAAUAAACUAGGUAUUGAUGGAACAUAUCUCAAAAUAAUAAGAGCGAUUUAUGACAAACCCACAGCCAAUAUCAUACUGAAUGGGCAAAAACUGGAAGCAUUGCCUUUGAAAACUGGCACAAAACAAGGAUGUCCUCUCUCACCACUCCUAUUCAACAUAGUGUUGAAAGUUCUGGCCAGGGCAAUCGGCAAGAAAAAGAAAUAAGGGGUAUUCAAGAGGAAGUCAAAUUGUCUCUGUUUGCAGAUGACAUGAUAGUAUAUUUAGAAAACCCCAUCAUUCAGCCCCAAAUCUCCUUAAGCUGAUAAGUAAAUUCAGCAAAGUCUCAGGAUACAAAAUCAAUGUGCAAAAAUCACAAGCACUCCUAUACACCAGUAACAGACAAACAGAGCCAAUCACAAGUGAACUCCCAUUCACGAAUACUACAAAGAGAAUAAAA
ensembl:lncRNA LINC02742 long intergenic non-protein coding RNA 2742